rnacentral:rRNA from 1 species
GAUGAACGCUGGCGGCGUGCUUAACACAUGCAAGUCGAACGGAAAGGCCUCAGCUUGCUGGGGUACUCGAGUGGCGAACGGGUGAGUAACACGUGGGUGAUCUGCCCUGCACUUUGGGAUAAGCUUGGGAAACUGGGUCUAAUACCGAAUAUGACCACUUCUUGGAUGUUGUGGUGGAAAGCUUGUGCGGUGUGGGAUGAGCCUGCGGCCUAUCAGCUUGUUGGUGGGGUAAUGGCCUACCAAGGCGGCGACGGGUAUCCGGCCUGAGAGGGUGUACGGACACAUUGGGACUGAGAUACGGCCCAGACUCCUACGGGAGGCAGCAGUGGGGAAUAUUGCACAAUGGGCGCAAGCCUGAUGCAGCGACGCCGCGUGGGGGAUGAAGGCCUUCGGGUUGUAAACUCCUUUCGCUAUCGACGAUGCCACUUGUGGUGACGGUAGGUAGAUAAGAAGCACCGGCUAACUACGUGCCAGCAGCCGCCGUAA